CAGUCGGUAGAGCAUCAGACUUU
rnacentral:piRNA from 4 species